CCUACGGGGGGCAGCAGUGGGGAAUAUUGCACAAUGGGGGAAACCCUGAUGCAGCGACGCCGCGUGAGUGAAGAAGUACUUCGUUAUGUAAAGCUCUAUCAGCAGGGAAGCAAAUGACGGUACCUGAGUACGAAGCCCCGGCUAACUAAGUGCCAGCAGCCGAGGUAAUACGUCGGGGGCAAGCGUUAUCCGGAUUUACUGGGUGUAAUGGGAGAGUAGACGGCAAUGCAAGUCUGGAGUGAAAGGCGGGGGCUUAACCCCCGUAGUGCUGUGGAAAUUGGCCUGCUGGAGUGCAGGAGAGGUAAGUGGAAUGCCUAGUGACGCGGUGAAAUGCGUAGAUAUUAGGAGGAACACCAGUGGCGAAGGCGGCUUACGGGACUUUAACUGACGUUGAGGCUCGAAAGCGUGGGGAGCAAACAGGAUUAGAUACCCGUGUAGUC
rnacentral:rRNA from 1 species